CGCGUGGUCUAGACCGUCCCGUUCCCUCGCCCUCGGGGACCUGAGGACACUGAGGCGAGGCGCCCUUCAACCCUAGGCACCGGGGACCCAGGGACUCGGGAAGCAGCUCCAUUCCCGUGGCGACAGGAAUAGGGUCCCUGCCCAGCACCUCCUCCCGCAGCUCCAGGUGGGCUGGCUCCGUAGUCUCAGGCCCCUCACAGGUCACCUGCCGCAGCCAGGAUGCUAGGAGUUUGAGGCGAGGGUUCAAGGCUCUUGUGGGGGAUGGAGGUGGGUGUGGGCGUGUCUCCUCCAGGGCUCUAGAACUCCUUGACAUUCUGCAGUCACCCAGGGAAACAGAGGCAGAACGAAAAGUUCCUCAGCCGAGCCCUGCGUUUCAAUUCGGACUUGGUGACCAGAGAGAUGUGGUCCUUACCCUCACAGCUGUCACACUCUUCCACCACCCAGCUUUUCCGGGUUAUUCCAAAGAGGAAAGCUAAGGGAGUCAAAACAGACAAGAAACUAGCAAACCAACUUUGACUUCCUUGGCAAAGCUCGACAGACCUCGGUUCAGUGUGGAGUCAAGAGCGAUCCUUUGACAACGCUGAAGUGGGGGUACCUCCCUUGCGGUGGAUUGAGGAUUUAUUUCACUUUAUGUGUGUGAAUGUUUUGCCUGCAUGGAUGUGCACCAGCUGCAUGCAGUGCUCGUGAAGACCAGAAGAGGGCGCUGGAUUUCCUGGAACUGGAGAAGCUCUGAAAGGCAGGUGUAAUCCGAUGGUGCCUCUGCUGGCUGGUGUUGACAUGAGCUUGACAGAAGCUGGAGUCAGCGGUGUUUUCCCCUUUGAGAAAAUACCUCCAUAUGAUCUGGCUUCAGGCAGACCUGUAAGGCGUUGUCUUAAUUAGUGACUGAUGGGAGAGGACCCAGCCUACGGUAGGUGGUGCCAUCCUGGGCUGGAGGUCCUGGGUUCUAUAAGAAAGCAGUGUGAACAAGCCAGCAAACAGCACCUCUCCAUGGCCUCUGUAUCAGCUCCUGCUUCUGGGUUCCCACCCAGUUUGAGUUCCUGCCUUGGCUUUCCCCGGUGGACUGUGAUCCAAGAUAUGUAAGCCAAAUAAACCCUUUCCUCCCCAA